rnacentral:rRNA from 1 species
AUUGAACGCUGGCGGCAGGCUUAACACAUGCAAGUCGAGCGGGGUGAUGGUGCUUGCACUAUCACUUAGCGGCGGACGGGUGAGUAAUGCUUAGGAAUCUGCCUAUUAGCGGGGGACAACAUCUCGAAAGGGAUGCUAAUACCGCAUACGUCCUACGGGAGAAAGCAGGGGAUCACUUGUGACCUUGCGCUAAUAGAUGAGCCUAAGUCGGAUUAGCUAGUUGGUGGGGUAAAGGCCUACCAAGGCGACGAUCUGUAGCGGGUCUGAGAGGAUGAUCCGCCACACUGGGACUGAGACACGGCCCAGACUCCUACGGGAGGCAGCAGUGGGGAAUAUUGGACAAUGGGGGGAACCCUGAUCCAGCCAUGCCGCGUGUGUGAAGAAGGCCUUAUGGUUGUAAAGCACUUUAAGCGAGGAGGAGGCUUACCUAGUUAAUACCUGGGAUAAGUGGAUGUUACUCGCAGAAUAAGCACCGGCUAACUCUGUGCCAGCAGCCGCUGUAA